rnacentral:rRNA from 1 species
GAUAAAACGCUGGCGGCGUGCAUAACACAUUCAAGUCGAACGGGAAUCGAAUGAUUGAGACUUCGGUCCGAUUGAUUUCGAGGAUAGUGGCGGACGGGUGAGUAACGCGUGAGCAACCUGCCUUUGUGAGGGGGAUAACACAGGGAAACUUGUGCUAAUACCGCAUAACCCGCUAGGGUCGCAUGACCCAGACGGAAAAGAUUUAUCGGUACGAGAUGGACCCGCGUCUGAUUAGCUAGUUGGGUGAGGUAACGGGCCCACCAAGGCGACGAUCAGUAGCCGGCCUGAGAGGGUGAACGGCCACAUUGGGACUGAGACACGGCCCAAACUCCUACGGGAGGCAGCAGUGGGGGAAUAUUGCACAAUGGGGGAAACCCUGAUGCAGCAACGCCGCGUGAGUGAAGAAGUAUUUCGGUAUGUAAAGCUCUAUCAGCAGGGAAGAAAAUGACGGUACCUGACUAAGAAGCCCCGGCUAACUACGUG